UUAUUGGGGUUGUAGGACACUCUGUACGGAGUUACAAAAGAAUUUGUUAGACGAAUAACCUGGAAAGGUUAAUCAGAGAAGGUAAUAAUCCUGUAGUCGAAAACGAAUUCUCUCUUGAGUGGAUCCUGAGUACGACGGAGCACGUGAAAUUCCGUCGGAAUCUGGGAGGACCAUCUCCUAAGGCUAAAUACUCUCUAGUGACCGAUAGUGAACCAGUACCGUGAGGGAAAGGUGAAAAGUACCCCGGAAGGGGAGUGAAAGAGAACUUGAAACCGUGUGCUUACAAGUAGUCAGAGCCCGUUAAUGGGUGAUGGCGUGCCUUUUGUAGAAUGAACCGGCGAGUUACGAUCUGAUGCAAGGUUAAGCAGAAAAUGUGGAGCCGUAGCGAAAGCGAGUCUGAAUAGGGCGAAUGAGUAUUUGGUCGUAGACCCGAAACCAGGUGAUCUACCCUUGGUCAGGUUGAAGUUCAGGUAACACUGAAUGGAGGACCGAACCGACUUACGUUGAAAAGUGAGCGGAUGAACUGAGGGUAGCGGAGAAAUUCCAAUCGAACUUGGAGAUAGCUGGUUCUCUCCGAAAUAGCUUUAGGGCUAGCCUCAAGUGAUGAUUAUUGGAGGUAGAGCACUGUUUGGACGAGGGGCCCCUCUCGGGUUACCGAAUUCAGACAAACUCCGAAUGCCAAAUAAUUUAACUUGGGAGUCAGAAUGUGGGUGAUAAGGUCCAUAUUCGAAAGGGAAACAGCCCAGACCACCAGCUAAGGUCCCAAAAUAUAUGUUAAGUGGAAAAGGAUGUGGCGUUGCCCAGACAACUAGGAUGUUGGCUUAGAAGCAGCCAUCAUUUAAAGAGUGCGUAAUAGCUCACUAGUCGAGUGACACUGCGCCGAAAAUGUACCGGGGCUAAACAUAU
rnacentral:rRNA from 1 species